GGCUCAGCCGCUCCGCGGCAUGUGGGAUCUUCCCGGACCGGGGCACGAACCCGUGUCCCCUGCAUCGGCAGGCAGACUCUCAGCCACUGCGCCACUAGGGAAGCCCUCUAGAUGAGUUUUGACCAUUAUAUUUCUUUACUAGACUUUUCAAAAACUGCUUUGGGCCAUAUUGAUCAACUAUGUAGUUUUGGGAAGCCCCUCUGCUUUUAUUUUUAAUUAAUCCAAGUUUAUUUUACUGUUUCAUUCUUUGAAUUAAAUGUAAUUUAUAAAUAAA